rnacentral:tRNA from 1 species
CUAUGUAGUAUACUAAUUACACUGGUCUUGUAAACCAGAAAAGGGGAACAGUAAUUCCCCCAAA